rnacentral:tRNA from 1 species
AAUUAGUGAACUUGAAUAAGUAUAUAUUUUGAAAAUAUAACAUAGAGGGAUACCUCUACUAAUUU